GUGAGUGUGAUUGAAUGGUGUCCCCAUUUUUAGCUCACCUGGCCCAAAGGGCCAAGUGAGCUUUUCUCAUCACUUGGCGUCCGGCGUCCGUCGUCGUCCGUCGUCGUUAACUUUUACAAAAAUCUUCUCCUCUGAAACUACUGGGCCAAAUUGAACCAAACUUGACCACAAUCAUCAUUGGGGUAUCUAGUUUAAAAAAUGUGUGGUGUGACCCGGUCAACCAAC
rnacentral:lncRNA from 1 species